ensembl:lncRNA
GGCACGCUACCAUCAUUUGGUGUUUUCCCAUCAACGUUGUUUGGCUCCCUGAAGGGGAUGGGAAUGGGAGGGGAUAUCAAAUCAGCAUGGGUCACUGCGGGUCUUGUGCCUUCUAAGAAACUUGAUGAACUAUGAAUGAGAAUCAUCAUUAUUGAUAAACAAUGAAGAUGUUAAGGAAAAUUAUAAAAGAUACUGUUUCGCAAAAGGUUGUUAAUAUUUGCACUCAAAAGCCAUUCAAAUUACACCCUUCCCUUCUAUGCUCCUGAAGCACGUGCGUUGAUUGGCUGGGAUUGUUUAUGGCUCGGUCCGAGCUACUAUGUUUGUUUCCCAUUCAGAGAGCCAGGACUGUGUACAAACAUCACAGUUUUGUUUUACCGUAAACACUGAACAGACAGCUAGCGGACCAUGAGGAGCAAUUCGCUGAAUUUGACGAAAAAGUGUAUGGGAUCAGAGUCGUUGACUACACCUUUAAGCAAAAGGUUACUACAAAAUGGUCACAGGUAUUUUAGUUCUCAAUGCCAAUACUUGUCAGAAGUAUGUUACUGACUCAGUGACAAAAUAUUCGAUUAUGCAAGAGCUCUGGCAACGUCUGCAAAAGACUACUCGGGCUCAAGGCUGAAUUAAUGGGACAUUCAUGUAAUGUGGUGAGUUUAUGAAGUGGGAACAGUGUCUGGCUUUCUGUGGAAUUGUGUCUGAUAGGUGUGAGUAUGAUACUAAAGCACCUUUAAGUGCUAGGGUAGCGACUAAAACCUGAACAUUUCAUUUACCCAAUUUCAUUUGCUGCCUACCGGUGGAAACUGCCAAGACCUUGCACGAGUCAAGCCGUGGCGAACAGCGCCCAUGCUUGGAUUUCCAGCAGCGCCUUAAGUGUGCCACCAUUGUGGGUGAUGGACAAAAUGGAAGCGAAUUUGACACGGCAAUGUGUCCCAGCCCAGAGCACACCCGCUGCCCAUGGGCUUUUACAGGGCUCCACUCCACUCCACUCCACUACACUCCACUCCCCUGAUUGGAUCAGAGACAGCAGAGCAGCUCUCCUUGUGUUGUCUUGCAACAGCAAGAGAGAGAGAGAAAGAGAGAGCCCUGCCCAGCCCUGCGAGCCCUUAUGUCUUCACAUGCUGGCUCACCCUAGAGCUAGAGUUAAGUAAUCACACCACAGAGCAUACUAAACACACACACACACAAACACACACACACACACACACACACACAAAUACCCAGCCACUGUGGAUGAACCUUUAGGUUUAUGAUGUUCCCAUGGUUUCACGUCGCUUAUGUCUGCAUUCUGUCCAUAACUACGGAGCUAAAUAACUGCGUGGACAAUAGACUGUCACUUUUCUUUUAUUAGAUCUCUCUCUUUACUGAAGAAUUCAGGAAUAAAACAGAACAGAAGCAGGAGAGACAUAUUUAACAUGUUUCUAAAACUUCCUUCCAAACAAGACAACAGCCAGUGCUAUCAGGUGCAGCUGAAAAGUACUAGACUUGAGAAACAACUAAUCAUGCAUUCAUGGUCGCAACAUCAUAAUCACAUGAUUGUUGCAGUAAUAUACAUAAUCAGUGUAUCACUAAUACUGACUGCGCAUACCAGUGACACUCAUCAUUAUAUCUCUAACAUAGUUGUUGACCUUUUCCCUCACUGCUAUCAGUGCUCUCAUACAUCAACGUAAAACACACACACACAGAGAGAGACACACACAGAGACACACACACACACACACACACACACACACACACAGAUGUUAGAGCAAUAGGCUGACAUGGUGCGAUAAUGCCAAGGUCACUGGCAUUUUUACAUUCUGUACAAUAUGAAACGUAAAUGACUACUGUGGUCAUAAAUCUCAGUGUAACUGGUUUGUUGCCAAGCAAUGUCCUGCAUGCACACAGGUCUACAGGUAUCAGCACAACUCCAAACAACUCAAUCCACAGACUGCAUUUCUUCAAUUCCAAUCAAAGAGGACGACAUUAAGACUUUUAGCACCGUACCUUUGCCUUCAUAAAAAAUCCUUAAUAUCCGGAGGAUUCUAAGUGGGGGCAAAGUGACUUAAUAUUUUUGUAUUGUGCUUCGCUGUGUUCUAUAAAUAUUUUAGUUGGAGGCAGGGGAGGUCACCCUAAGUCAUAUGUUCACUAGCAGUGCCUAACCCUAACCCUAAAUAACUCCUGUCCACCUCCCAGUGUCUGCCAAUGACACUUAAGAGGGCACAUUUCCAACCCAACUGCAUUUAGAGUUCCUGAAAUAACAGAAAUCCAUCCACACAAAGCGCUAGCGCUCUGACUCAGUCCCACUGUGAAGAGAAGGUUCUCUCCCUGCCUGCCGAUUGUUAAUGGAAAAAUGAGAGGGUCACUGGUCAGCUAAACGUUUUACUCAGACUCAGGUGACUGUUCCCCAAUGUUAUUUCCUUCUUGACAGUGUCACAAGAUGUGGCAGAUGCAGGGAAAACAAAUUUGUCCACUUAGCGUGCUUAGCAUACUCAGAACAUCUGCAGACCGAGACCAUGAGAGCCCUUUUUCUUCCAGAAAAUAAAGUAUGGCAUUUCAUAAUAAAUGGGUCUUUCUGCUUGAGAUGGCCAUGCUUCAACAGACAUACUUGUCUGGGUGCUGGGUGUACGGCUGAAUCUGGAGCGUUGCUCGUCACGAGCAAAACCACAUUAACCCAGAGAGGGAGCGGGGGAGGAAAGACCAGGGCAGGGGCCUUCCUCAUUCUUUGACAGCUCAGGAGACCUAGAUGUGAUCUCAUUAUUGUUUAAUUUAUGUAUCAAUUUAAAUCACAGAUAUUUCCAUGAAAAAUUCCCUAGGAGAUACAGAUUCUUGCUGUGUACCUGGUCAUUCGGAUGACACCCCCCCCCACACACACACACACACACACUCACCCAGUCUUGAAAUCAUUAACAAAAAAACAAAAAGCAGACUUCCAGCUGAUAGAUUGAGUCAUGGACACAGGUUAAUAUUAGCCCUGGACAAAACCUGAACCGUGACUUUGUUCACAUUUACAGUUUACUGUAAAAUAGCUCUUAGCCCACUCAUUUCCUUUGUUACUAACAAUUAACAGAACUAAACUCAGAGUCCAGCAGCUAAGAUUGCAAAUGAUGGGCUAUAAAAGCUUACGAUUCAUAUCCAUAAUGGAAAAAACAAUGUGCUAACCCGACAGCCAAUUCAACCACCCAGAGACACACUUAAGCCUUGAGGAGAUCAGGGAAAUAAUGCAUACUUCUAGUCAAAACAUGCUGCCAUUUUUUUUCUAAAUAAUGACAAAAGUGAAAACUACUCUUCAUACUUCACAGCAGAACUCUCAUCAUUAUUUGUGCAGCCAGAUACAAACAUUAGAUUAGAUCUCACGAGAGGCCCAUUCAACAAAUGCUGCGACAGCUACAGUGAAGUUGUGAGAUAAAUAACCAGCUGUGCUCUUCACACAUAACCAACAGGAAGACAUGGGCGAGCCUGGGGAGUGGGAGUUGAUUGUUCCCAAGUUAAAAUGGUAACCAGCCAAGUGCCAACGACUGUUGAGCCACGCCUUUGCCAAACAUUUCACUAUGACAUGCAAAAAAAAGCCCCACAACCAACUGCCAUUAUCAUUUCAGGUCCCAAUCUAAAGGAGUAUCGACAUGGAUAGUGUUUUAACCUGAGAGUAAAACAGAAUUACGCCUAUGCAGUAGGAAAAAAAACAUAUGUUAAAAAGCACAGCAUGAGGAAACAAUCCCAAUUUCCAUUUCCUCUUUUCGGUUGUGCCUCGGCCCAUGCUGUCUGCUGCCAGUUUAACUCUGCACUCCCAGUUCCUCAGUCCGUUUGGUCAUGGUGUUUCCCACCCACUGAAGUGUCAUCUGUUACGAAACCAUAAUCAGGUGGCUCCUUUAGGCACUUGUGUAAGAGAGCAUUUUAACUAUGACAACUGCAUGAAUACAAAAUCACAAGUGGCUGUGAGUACUGCUGCAUUUUUCUGUUACGCUUAGAAUCUGGACCACUGAAAUGAAACAAAAUAUAUCAAAUCUGUGCAUCCAGCUACAUGCUUGGUUUGUUUAGCCUUCUUUACGGCCAACUCCAUGCCUCGAAUUUUAGACCUGCUGUAAAAGUAAGGCAGAAAUACACACACGGGCAAUACUACAGAGAGGUGAAGCAAAAAAUCCCUGUGCUCAUUCCUUACACACGCCUAUACACUCGAGUAACUACCCAUUUGCUUCUGGCACGGUUGAGCGUAUUUGAUAUACACAUGUGAUUCUCCUGACCUUGAUUUCCAGGGUCCAUAAUUAUCCUGUUAAUGGUGUUUUGGAUGAUGUAGUUUACCCAUUAAAAUAUAGUGCUAAUAACUAAGUACGACAGUUCCAUUUAUCAUUUUAAGGCAAGUGGGCUAGCAAAUUAUAUUACUUCAUAUGCCUCUACAAUGGGAUUAUGAUACAGUUUGAAUUGUGAUCUAAAUCUCUUCAGUUGGUAUUAUAAAGGCUUGAUACAGGGUUUACUAUUCCACCUCACUCUUAGCCAGGAAUAAAGUAGAACUGAUCCAUUCAGAAAAUGACAUGCCCAGCACAGUGAGUAUUGUGGGAAUCCCCAUUAGAGGCCUUUUGUAACCUUGUCAAUAAAGUCACAGAGCAGAGUGCCAAAUGUAACAGUUUGUAGACCAUUUCACUCUGGAACCUCCGGUGAUGCCAGUUCAUUUUAGCACCACUGAGACUGCCACUUACACUUACACUGUAGAGAGCCCUCACCAAGCUAAAAGUCAAAUAUAUACCAGCCGGAUUACACCCCCUUGUGACAAUGCAGUUUUUGUCAUGAAGGGAUGAUGAACAGAUUCCUGGUCACAGACGUAUCAUCACCAUGUAAAACCAUCACUAUGUUACUGUGGACAGGACUGUACAGCCGUGACAGAAUUCCACUUGCAUGUGCGACCUCAAUUUACAACGAAUAUCCUACUAAGCACACAACUGGCCUCAGGUCAACACAAAGCACAGCACAAAGUACUGUUGAAAGUAAACAAUGGCUUAUAUCAAUCCGCUAACUCUGCACCCUUCCAUGCUAAUUUGUCUUGACCCGUCGACAGCAGGAUCACACGACCCUAUUGGCAACACUUCUAUGGCCCAUCCAACACUGACUUUGUAUGUAGCCUUUAAAUAAAUGGACAAUUGCGACUUCUGAGAUCAUGGAUGCCUCUUCCUCCAGUUGUACUGAUGCACAGUUGCUCUCCAUACAUCUGUCUUUACAUUGCUCUUAUCAUGUAACAUUCUCCUUCAGAGUAUCCUUACAAGUAGUCUGACUGAUUGACUGAAAGCCAGACACUGUUUAUAUUUCAUGAUGUAUUACAUCAAAAAUCACAAGGCCCUUUUAAAUGACAAAAUGAGAUCAUGAAAAGAAGUUCCCAUGAAAUCCCUCCUCAGUGCAGGUUAAGCCUGCCUCUGCACCUCAACAUUAAAGAAAAUGGUAAAGAAUAGCAGUGCAACACACACAUUACGUUAGAUUUGAGGGCCAAAGGUCAGGGUGAUGGGAGUGAAUGGAGGGUUUGUAUUGGCGGUGGCCUCCAUAGCCCAGGGGAAUGAAGCUGAUGGCUCGUUCAUUACAUCAUUGAAAAUGGAACUGCGACAAUUCUCAGAAGUACAGCAAAGCCAAAUAUCAUUUGAUGUGCAGUUCCACUAUGAGCGGAUCCACAAAUAUCAUGUACUUAUAUGAGAACAACUGAGUACUAGUUAAUAAAGUAACUAUUAUUUACAUAUAUAUAUAUAUAUAUAUACACACCUGAGGCUACUUAGAACAAAAUGGGGCCCGCAAAGAAAUGAAUGUGACUACAGCCUACAGGAGAAGUGAAGGGCCAUGCAUCAUGUCUGAAUGACAAAUAAUGAUAAAUUAUAAUAUGGCCACGAUAGCAUGACAUUAAUAAUACAGUGUAAUCUAUAUACAAUUCAGCUAUAGAUUCAGUAGAGUGUAGUAUGCCCUGAAGGUGUAUGAAUGCCGUAUCAUUCCUUAUUAAGGACAAGCCUGGGAAACACUGCACAACCAAGGGGUGUGUUUUAUAUUCAGCUAGAAUGCUCCCAUUCGAGUCGUGCAUCAGGUGUGUACUAGAGAGGCUGAACAAUGCAGCUGUUUGUGUUGCUCUCCCAUCCGUUUGGGACUCCUGAACUCACUGCACGGGCAUGCCGUAUUCGGCGUACCAUGCUGCGCUCAGAAUCCUAUAUAGCAGCCUCCCUCCGCCGCAUCCCAUCGCCACAGCCAUUCAUGGCAGAGCAACACCGAGAGGGAAAGGAGAGGCUUUUUCCGAGGCCAGCUUGAAGCUUUUCCUCAGCAAAGUUAAGCUCUAUAAACAAAAUGGGGCAGAGUUGAUCAGAGCGCUGUCUCUUAAUUAGAGAGAACAGAUGCUGGCAAAGUAAACACAGCUUGAUAUGCACAACAGAACAUGGCAUCAGUCUGCAGCAGAGGCUGAGAGGGAGGGAACACCCCCAGCUCAAACCAAGCACGAUAUGAAGAGAAGAGGACCGAGUGCCUGUCUUCAGAUGGAACUCCCUGGUUGGGUCUUGAACGGCACUAGGCAAACUGCUCGGGCCGCCAGACGGUGAUCCCCACACAAUGAUAUUUGAAAUGGAUGUUUGUUUGCUUGUUUGCAGACAUCUCAGAACAAUGCCCCCAUUUGAUCUUAACUUUAUCAGUAUCUGUGCCAUGGCCGGUACAAUGCAACAAAAUGAAUUAAAUGGGAAUAAUGCUCGGAAAUUAACAAAAUUCAUUCCAUCACUGGUAGAAGGGAGUGUUUCUCAUUCACUGCCCACAAUUAAUGGAUAUUAUGGUCUGAUUCCAUGUAGGCUAAUGCUACGAAAUCCCCAAACCCUUAAGUAAUUAUGUAGCUUAAUUUGCAUUUUCUUAAUAUCUGUGUGAUUUUUUUCUUUUUCAUUAUUUAUUUUAUCAAUUUAUUGUAUUGGUAUAAAGGUCAUGCUGACUCACUCUUGAGGUUAGAGAAUUCAAGGAAUUCACCAUAACAGGGUAAAACGGGACAACCCUACCGUUAACAGGUCUAAGACGGCUGCCACAUUUAUUGCACUGCAAUAGCCAUUGGCUAGUCAUGGCAAAAUCAGCAAACCUUAAGGAAACAGUAGAGGCUUUAUAUCAGGUUAUGUUCAGCCAUUCAGCACUGGAAGACACGUCUCAUUCUCGCGACGCCAAAUUAUUGUUGUAAUGAAGCACUGGUCAACACCACAGAAUAGCAAGCAUUCAGGGAAGGGGCAAGUUUAUUGUAAUCACAACUGGUUUGGACGUUGUGUGCAUUGCCCACUAGAGCCUGGGGCAGUUGUUUCAAUGAUUGUUGCAACAGGCUUGUGCUUUCGUCAAAGGAAUCCCCUUUAAAAACAAGUGCAAGCGCACACCCAGUUCACGGGCGAGGCGCAACAUGGCUAAACUGACUGUUCAAACAGAUGGGUUUUGUGCAGAUUGCUCAAGCAAUUUUAUUUCGGCGAUAUUUGAUCAGAUUCAUAACAGAAUGAGGCUAUCACACUGUACCGUAACACUAUUAACUUGGCCCAGAAGAAGCCAAUCUAUGGAAGUACUGCAUUGUGAAGCGCUGUAAACUUUCUGCGCUAUUGGCUCAACAUUAGAAACGGAACAAAGUGCUUCUGCGUCUUGAUUACGCCCCUUUCCAUCCUUUUCAUGUGACGUCAGAAGAAUGGAUUUUUACUGCAAUCAGCCACUUAAUUAAACAAGGAUCACUUCUCUCGUCACGUUAACAACAUUCGGUUUGCAGAGAGCUUCUGAUCACCCGACUACUUAAAAUAUAUGCCCUGGUAAUUAGAAACAAUGUGAAUAGUCAUCCGGUUUCCCCUAAAUAAAAUCUACUUUGACGGUUGAUCCAUAACCUACAUGGUAAUAGGCAUGCAGUGCAUCAAUUCUUCCGUUCGGAGCGUUGAUCUCUGCGGAUUGACUCGUCCAAUACUAUCAUGGCGUGACACCAGUAGGCUACUCUUAAAUGUUUCUGAUUUGCCUGGUAUGACGGGCAGGAAAAACAGGUUGCUUUGACGAAUGUAUGACUCUUUUUGUGAGCGGCGGCAUUUCACCUGGUCUCAAUCAGAAUUUGUACCACAAAAAAAGAUGUAUGAGCGGAUUCCACGGUCCGUCUCCUCAAGUACUAAGUCAAACAUGACUAAGAUUAGUUCAGAAUCACACGGAAAGCAAUAUGCGAGUACGGCAGGACUCCGUGACGGAUAUAAAUGCUCACAAACACACGCACACAUAGCCUUCAUAAACACAUGCACACACCUGGUUAGAACGAGCAAAGUGAAAUGAAAAGGAAUAAGAGCAUACCGUUGAGAUGAGAUGACGCCGCAGCUCCCAAGCAGCUGGAAACCAGUCAGUCCAAGUGGUUUUGCCUCUUCAACCCUGACAAUCAAUACAUUCUAACCCCGAGUCUUGGGCGGUAGAAAUCCCCUUUCCUGCCUGAGCGGAAUCCCUGUUGCACCCUCCAGUCUGGACCUAUGACGUCUCCUUGGCUGCAAAUGCAAUAUGAACCAAACUACCGAAAGAUCGCAGCUUUCUUCAAGAUUGUUUUUGUUUACCGAGGGAUGGCCAGUGUGUUUACAGAUACACAAACAAGUCGCCCUUGUUUUCUCCGAGUGUGAAAUCUAACUUGACAACAGGACUGCACAUAGGCGGAAAAUCAGUUCAGCAAAUCUGAUGGAAUCGAUUUUUCCUCUACUCUGAUAAUAGGCUUUUUGUGAAUUAAAUAUGGCCAAAGUUGAAUGGAGACAUUAUAUAACUUGACACUGAAGACUAUCGCAGGCAAGAAGUGAUACUACUGAUGAGGGUGUGUUUCCCUUCACCUAAAACAAACGCGGUAAAAGUAUGGUAAAUCGCUACCAGGCCAGGGGUCCGCUAAAAUGUCUUCGGAUGCUGUUCCUACGAGCCAUCGCCGUGCCUAGAAAACGAAAGGGGAUU